CGAGCAGACUAAGGUUUUAUUUUAAACCCGAACGAACCAACGAAGAAUGGAAGAAGAAGAAUUCACCGCAGAACAGUCAUCAGUGUUAUUAAAAACUAGCUCUGGCUACUUGAUGUGGUCUUAUUCUACAAAAUGCAUGCUUAAAAGUA